rnacentral:piRNA from 1 species
ACAUACAUGUAGACAGCAAAUUAA